UGAUCUGACAAGCUCCUCAACAAAUAUGUAUCAAAGAUUCAAUUUUACUUAUUAAAAUGAUUUACAUGGGUCAAACCCAUGCACCUAAAACCACUGCAGUAAUUCGUUAACCCAUUCUGCUUUGGGCGACUAACAUUUGCAUCAACAAGGGCUUGAUUGUGGAUUUAAAGCAUUAUACAGCACUAGACUUCACUGGAGCUUUGCAUGUAAAGCUCCAUCUGGGCAGUUUUCCAGCUGGGUAAUCUCAGAGGACUGAUGUCUAUUCCUCAGGCACUAGUUAGACUAGACACUCUUGUUUAUUCAUCUCUUUCAUUUGCUAGGCCUACCACAGACCACCCUCUUCCAUCCUAUGCCUUCUUUUAACCUAACCUGAGACAGAGCUGGGAAGUCUUUGCCUUGGCGUGGCUGGAAAUAUCAGGGAGAAGAAAUUUGGAAGAAAUGUUAGUCAAAAUGCUGAAGCAACUCUUCUUUCCUCCCUACCAAAGGAUCUGAAAGACUAAUUAGCCUUGAGAGUGACAUAAAAUUCCAAUGCCAGACAUCCCAGCUUUAUGCUCAUACUUAUGGUAAAAUAUCCAGGAUAUAAAAUGAAUCAUUUUCCCUUGAUGUAUAAACAGAUGUUCAUUCAGUCACCUGUGCAAGUAAAUAUCCACCCUAUCCUUAACCAUGCUGUUUCUAAUAGUCUUUGGAAAACACACAUCUGAUCAUACCAUUCUCUUCCUUUAAGACUUGAUGCUUCUCUUAUCUAGUAGCUUUAAAACUGUUGGAGAGGGAGUCAGUAGCCAAUGGAUCUAAUUUUACUCAUGUUGCUUCUUUUUUUUUUUUCUUUUGUAAAAUCUAUUUUGAACAAGUGCCUCAAGUGAAUAAUAAUGGCUCUUAUUGUAGUUAUUAAUAUUACUAUUAUGGUAAUGUUGAUAACUACUUAAGGUCAUGUAAAGCUGUGUCAUGUGUAGUUAAUUACUAUAUAUUAAUAUUACAAUAGCAAUAUGAAUAACUAUCAUGGCACACCUUUACAUGACACACAUACCCCUUCGUGAUUUUUGCCCAGAUGGUCUUUUGUCCUUAUUCUCCUCCCUCCCAACUCAUCCCAGGUAACUGGCUGUCCAGAAUGUACUAUGCACCCUCAAGACCCCAUCUCUUUGUGUGCUGAUUUAUUUUCCUGGACCAUGUCCUUCCCCUUCUCUGCUUGAUGAACUCUAAGACCAAAAGACUUCUCUAAGAACUGAGUCCCCUACUUUGUGCUCCCACAGAAUGUUGUAAUUAUGUCUUACAUUUUGUACUCGACACAAAAAACAACAGGACAAGAAGCCAUGAAUGGAAACUAUAUAACCAGAACAGAAAGAAUAGCUCCUGCAUUUUCAGGAGAAACAGUCUGUUAGGGAAGCAGUCUUGAGACCCAGUCUUAUUUUUU
rnacentral:lncRNA from 10 species